AUGCUCACUUUGGCAGUACGUAUACUGAAAUUGGAACGAUAGCAUGGUCCCUGUGCAAGGAUGACAUGCAAAUUUGUGAAGCAUUCCAUAUUUAA
ensembl:snRNA U6 U6 spliceosomal RNA